AAGCUGAAGGCAACGGGUACACACUGACUGGCAGCUCUCCACUGAGUCUUAGCAUAAGAACCUCUGCAGUGACUUAGCAAAGGAAAACAGCCGCUGAAGACACAUCUUUACCAGGCUGCUACAUAGCACCAGGCAUCACAGCCACAAUCUCUAUCUCUUCAAAGAACAAAGUGAAGACAAGUUCCUCAAAAACAUGAUUGGCCUGUGGUUCCUCUCUGUUCUCACUUACGGACUUAUGGUGCUUCAGGAGGGCAAUUGCUGGACAUACCACUAUUCAGAAAAAAAUAUGACCUAUAAGCUUGCGGAGGAAUGGUGUAGGAAACACUAUACAAAUAUGGUUGCCAUUCAGAAUAAGGAGGAAAUUGUCCAUCUGAAUGCAUUUUUACCCUUCAAUCCAAGUUAUUACUGGAUUGGAAUCAGGAAGAUUGACAAUGAGUGGACCUGGGUUGGAACAAGAAAACGGCUGACUGAAGAGGCUAAAAACUGGGCUAAGGAUGAACCAAACAACAGAAAGAAUGACGAGGACUGUGUUGAAAUCUACAUCAAAAGAGCGAAGGAUGCAGGCAAAUGGAAUGAUGAAAGAUGCAGCAAAGAGAAGGUUGCCUUGUGCUAUGCAGCUUCCUGUGACCAGUCUUCCUGCAGUGGCCAUGGAGAAUGCCUGGAGACCAUUAACAAUCAUACCUGCCUCUGUGAUGCUGGAUUCUAUGGGCCUGAAUGCCAGUAUGUUGUGACUUGCGACCAAUUAAAAGAACCCGAUCAAGGGACCCUGGAGUGCAGCCAUCCAUUACAGAACUACAGCUACAACUCAUCCUGCGAGGUUCAGUGUGCAGAAGGCUAUGAAUCAACUGGGUUUGAACCAGUGUGGUGUACCUCCUCCGGGAACUGGUCUUCACCCACUCCAGCAUGUACAGUUGUGCAGUGUGAUGGCUUAAAGGCUCCAGCUCAUGGCUCCAUGAUGUGCUCUCCCGCCUCUGCGAACUUUCUGUGGAAUUCAACCUGUGAGUUUGCCUGUGAAGAAGGGUUUAUGUUGAAGGGAACAGACAGGCUGCAGUGCAGCGCUUCUGGAGAGUGGGAUGGACAGCAGCCGGAAUGCGAAGCUGUGACUUGUGAAACAGUGAACGGGCCUGAAAAUGGCUUUGUGGAAUGUACCGGCGGUCAUCCAGAAUUCACCCACAACUCGGCCUGUGAGUUCCGUUGCGAGGAGGGCUACAGAUUAAGUGGAUCGCCCACGAUUCAGUGCACAGCUCAGGGAGAAUGGUCAGAGCCCUUCCCAAAGUGUGAAGUUGUGCAGUGUGAUGGCUUAAAGGCUCCAGCUCAUGGCUCCCUGAUGUGCUUUCCCACCUCUGCGAACUUUCUGUGGAAUUCAACCUGUGAGUUUGCCUGUGAAGAAGGGUUUGCGUUGAAGGGAACAGACAGGCUGCAGUGCGGUGUUUCUGGAGAGUGGGAUGGACAGCAGCCGGAAUGCGAAGCUGUGACGUGUGAAACAGUGAACGGGCCUGAAAAUGGCUUUGUGGAAUGUACCGGCGGUCAUCCAGAAUUCACCCACAACUCGGCCUGUGAGUUCCGUUGCGAGGAGGGCUACAGAUUAAGUGGAUCGCCCACGAUUCAGUGCACAGCUCAGGGAGAAUGGUCAGAGCCCUUCCCAAAGUGUGAAGUUGUGCAGUGUGAUGGCUUAAAGGCUCCAGCUCAUGGCUCCCUGAUGUGCUCUCCCGCCUCUGCGAACUUUCUGUGGAAUUCAACCUGUGAGUUUGCCUGUAAAGAAGGGUUUGUGUUGAAGGGAACAGACAGGCUGCAGUGCGGUGUUUCUGGAGAGUGGGAUGGACAGCAGCCGGAAUGCGAAGCUGUGACAUGUGAAGCAGUGAACGGGCCUGUAAAUGGCUUUGUGGAAUGUACCGGUGGUCAUCCAGAAUUCACCCACAACUCGGCCUGUGAGUUUCAUUGCGAGGAGGGCUACAGAUUAAGUGGAUCGCCCACGAUUCAGUGCACAGCUCAGGGAGAAUGGUCAGAGCCCUUUCCAAAGUGUGAAGUUGCACAGUGUGAAACCCUGAUACCCCCUGAGAAGGGCUCCAUGAAUUGUUCACACUCUUUUGGAGAUUUUGCAUACAGCACAGUUUGCGAGUUUAACUGUACAGGGGGAUGGUUGCUAAACGGCUCUAAAGUACUUCAGUGCAGCGCUGCAGGGAACUGGACUGCAAGUCAGCCAACGUGCGAAGCUCCCAAAGUGCCUGAAGAACUGCUCAGUUACGUCUCUGUUGGAAUAGCAGCCACCGGAGCCUCGCUCCUGUUGACAGCAUCAUUCCUCAUUUGGCUUGUAAAGCGCCUUCGAAGGAAAGCAAAGAAAUUUACUCCUGCCAGGUAUGUUGUAUUUAAAAAACCACAUGAGAAGCAUUGCAAUCAUUCUUUGCUAACAUCACACUGAUGUAGAGAACAUUUGUAUAUAAAUCCCUCUCUUCUAUAUCUUACAGCAGCUGCCAGAGUCUCAAUUCAGAACAUACCUUCCAAAGCACUGCUCAUCUAAUCUAACGCCAAGUGACUCCGGAAUUGAAGCUAUCUUCACUGAUGCCUCAGAGCCUCUCAGGAAAUGGAGCUAUGCAGUCCUCAACAAGUGGCCAGGUGUUGAUACAUUUUGCUGACAAGAUGAUUAGCCUCGGAUCUUGCUACUAGAUACCAUGCUCAGUCAUCUGGUUCUGCCACUGAAGACAAGCAAGCUAUGGGUAAAACCCUAGCCGUUUACCAAGAGACUACAUGGGUCCACUCAAUGUACAGCUACAGUGAUUGGGAGAUCUCUAUUCAUUCUCUGGAUGGGGACAAAAUAAGCUGCUGUCUAUGGGAGAGGCUGGACUCCUCUGGGGUCAGUCUGUAGGUACCAGGGUGGAGUGAACACUUUGCAAUAUACACAGCUGGAGAUCUCUCCCAUGGAAACACACAGAUUACAUUUUUUAAAGCAAAAUAGUUAGAAUAGGAAAUAUUUAUGGAAUUGCCUUACAAACCAUUGAUUUGGUUCACUGGUAAUUGUUGAAGUAAAUGUACUGUAACAAUAUGUCACAGUUAAUAAAUCUGCCUGUAACACUAUGGUCAGGGUGUUUUGCUGCAAUUCCUAGUGAGUUUUUAUAUAGUAACUUUAAACCACUGCUAAUGGGAGCACUAUCAGAGUUAGCAAUUAUGCCAGGCACUCUGGUUCGUGAAUGCAACAGGUAGAGCUGAAACAAUUUCAUCCCCAUGGGAUUAAGUAUUGUAAUCUAUAUAAAUACAUAUUUAGUUUCUUGUGCACUUUCUUCUGCAUGUAAUUCUGUACUGUUUGUAAAUCAUAGAACUGCUGUAAGAUAUCUGCCCUAGAGUUCAGGAUCAUAUAUGUUCUGCAAAAAGUAUGUGACAUCCACUCUGUUCAGAUAAAAUAGCCUGUUGUAUAACUCAAAAGGCAGUGACUACAGACCUUCUGUGUACUUAUUCCUUUAAAUUUAUCUGUCAUUUAGGGACAGACAUGAUUAAAGGUCUGUAUGUGCAUUCAUGUGUGUCUGAACAUAAGAACAUAACAUAAUACUAGAUAGAAGUAAAAUACCUUGUAUAUAAAUAAACAAUGUACAGACCUUUUGGGUCUGAUCCUGGUCUCAUUAACAUUGAUGGCAAACUCCCGUUAAUUUCAACAAUUCAGGAAAAGGCACUUCAUAACUUACAAACUGUUCUUUUUGACACCUUCUUGAAUAUUGCAUUUGGUAACAUUGCAUACACAAUAGUCCAGUGGAAAGACCCGAGGUCAUAUUUUAGUGGCUGAUGUUUUUGUAAGAAGCAGUUCUGUGGGACUGAAUAUUUGGGGGCAGAUGUAAAUUGUCACAGCUCAAUCAAUCAGAGGUACCCUUUUAUGGUUUUCAUGUCAGUAUAUUAUUUAAAUAUAAACUGGCAGCAUAAGAAGAUCUUUAUAUAUAAUGAAUAUAAUCUGCUUAGGUUUUAUAUUAUCAGUAUGGUUUUGACUAAGUUAUGUAUUUAAUGUUUUUAUGAUUACACAAUCGUGGCUGAUUUUAAUCUAAUAUGUGCUGUGCUCUAUGUGACAUUGAUUAAUAAAAUGGUUUGAGAUUACUGCUUA